GAUGAACGCUGGCGGCGUGCUUAACACAUGCAAGUCGAACGGAAAGGCUCCUGCUUGCAGGGGUACUCGAGUGGCGAACGGGUGAGUAACACGUGGGUGAUCUGCCCUUCACUUCGGGAUAAGCCUGGGAAACUGGGUCUAAUACCGGAUAGGACGAUGUUUUGGAUGCCAUUGUGGAAAGUUUUUCGGUGGGGGAUGAUCUCGCGGCCUAUCAGCUUGUUGGUGGGGUAAUGGCCUACCAAGGCGUCGACGGGUAGCCGGCCUGAGAGGGUGUACGGCCACAUUGGGACUGAGAUACGGCCCAGACUCCUACGGGAGGCAGCAGUGGGGAAUAUUGCACAAUGGGCGGAAGCCUGAUGCAGCGACGCCGCGUGGGGGAUGACGGCCUUCGGGUUGUAAACUGCUUUCGCUAGGGACGAAGCGCAAGUGACGGUACCUGGAGAAGAAGCACCGGCUAACUACGUG
rnacentral:rRNA from 1 species